rnacentral:tRNA from 2 species
GGGCCUUUAGCUCAAUUGGUAGAGCAUCGGACUCUUAAUCCGCAGGUUCCGGGUUCGAUCCCCGGAGGGCCCACCA